rnacentral:tRNA from 1 species
AAAAAGAUAAGCUAAAUAAAGCUAUUGGGCCCAUAACCCAACUAUGAUUUUAAAUCUCUUUUUA